CAGACAAUGGAAGACAAUGGCAGACGUAGCCUGUAAACUUAAUAUAUUGAAGGCCACACUAUCAAAACCCAAUGCUCAGGCAGGAGGUUGUAAUACAAUAAAUGUACUUUAAUUAGGAAGACGUCGGACCUUGGGUGAUCAAAUUUCCUUUCUCGGUUCAGGGAUCUUUACAUCAUGAGAGAAUCGGAACAAAAUUCAGCUUGAGGGCAGAGAGAAUUCAAAGCUAAUGCUCAAUAAUGUGCUGGCUGAAUAAACUGUGCAAUGUACACUCUUUUUGCUGUAUUUCUACCAUACACACACACACACACA